rnacentral:snRNA from 1 species
AUCACAUUUCAAAUCAAGUGUGGUAUCUGUUCUCAUCAGUUUAAUAUCUGAUACGUCCCCCAUCGGGGGACAACAUAUUAAAUUCUCCCGAGUGGUGCAGCGGUCUAAGGCACUGCAUCUCAGUGCUAGAGGCGUCAGUGCAGACCCUGGUCCGAUUCCAGGCUGUAUGUAAUGUUAU